AUGAAGUUUUCUCCAGGCUUCGUGACUGUGGUACUCUUAAUGCUUGGACAAACCCAUGGAGUCUCAGUGACUCAGACGGAAGGCCAAGUGACUCUCUUGGAAGAGGCUUCCCUGACUGUGAACUGCACUUAUUCAGCAUCAGGAUCCCUUACUCUUUUCUGGUAUGUCCAGUAUCCCGGUGAAGGUCUACAGCUCCUCCUGAAAGCCUUGAGGGACAAGGAGAAGAAAAGCAACAAAGGAUUUGAAGCCACUUUUGAUGACAAAUCCAAAUCCUUCCACUUGGAGAAACGCUCAGUGCAAGCCUCAGAUUCAGCUGUGUACUACUGUGCCCUGAGCAAGGGAAACAAAAGCAAACUUUUGUUUGGGACUUUUGGGACUUCAUCAAGAUAA